CAAACACAGAAUUGGAGUUUUUCAAAACACUGAGUUAUGAAGGAGUGUAACAGCUGAAUCUGAGAGACCUGGAGGCAAAUGAAGACAUUGACUUUCAGAAAAAGAACUAAGUGAAAUGAAGACAAGAAAGCAAUGUACUAGAUACAGAGUUCAAAACACUGGUUAUAAG